AUUGAACGCUGGCGGCAUGCUUUACACAUGCAAGUCGAACGGUAACAGGGUGCUUGCACCGCUGACGAGUGGCGAACGGGUGAGUAAUACCUCGGAAUGUACCCAGUAAUGGGGGAUAACGCUUCGAAAGGAGUGCUAAUACCGCAUACGCCCUGAGGGGGAAAGUGGGGGACCGCAAGGCCUCACGUUAUUGGAGCAGCCGAUGGCUGAUUAGCUAGUUGGUGAGGUAAAGGCUCACCAAGGCGACGAUCAGUAGCGGGUCUUAGAGGACGAUCCGCACAACUGAAACUGAGACACGGCCCAGAGUCCUACGGGAGGCAGCAGUGGGAAUCUUGGACAAUGGGCGAAAGCCUGAUCCAGCAAUGCCGCGUGCGUGAAGAAGGCCUUCGGGUUGUAAAGCGCUUUUGUCUGGGAGCAAAUCCUGGCCUCUAAUACAGGUCGGGGAUGAGAGUACCAGAAGAAUAAGGACCGGCUAACUACGUGCCAGCCGCCGCGGUAA
rnacentral:rRNA from 1 species